rnacentral:rRNA from 1 species
CCUACGGGAGGCAGCAGUAGGGAAUCUUCCGCAAUGGGCGAAAGCCUGACGGAGCAACGCCGCGUGAGUGAUGAAGGUCUUCGGAUCGUAAAACUCUGUUAUUAGGGAAGAACAUAUGUGUAAGUAACUGUGCACAUCUUGACGGUACCUAAUCAGAAAGCCACGGCUAACUACGUGCCAGCAGCCGCGGUAAUACGUAGGUGGCAAGCGUUAUCCGGAAUUAUUGGGCGUAAAGCGCGCGUAGGCGGUUUUUUAAGUCUGAUGUGAAAGCCCACGGCUCAACCGUGGAGGGUCAUUGGAAACUGGAAAACUUGAGUGCAGAAGAGGAAAGUGGAAUUCCAUGUGUAGCGGUGAAAUGCGCAGAGAUAUGGAGGAACACCAGUGGCGAAGGCGACUUUCUGGUCUGUAACUGACGCUGAUGUGCGAAAGCGUGGGGAUCAAACAGGAUUAGAUACCCUGGUAGUCCACGCCGUAAACGAUGAGUGCUAAGUGUUAGGGGGUUUCCGCCCCUUAGUGCUGCAGCUAACGCAUUAAGCACUCCGCCUGGGGAGUACGACCGCAAGGUUGAAACUCAAAGGAAUUGACGGGGACCCG